UGGUGGAGUGAUUUGUCUGGUUAAUUCCGUUAACGAACGAGACCUCGACCUGCUAAAUAGGGGUCCGAAUCCUCUGGAUUGGGGCCGCCUUCUUAGAGGGACUAUCGGAUGGUGUACCCGGUGGAAGUCCGAGGCAAUAACA
rnacentral:rRNA from 1 species